rnacentral:rRNA from 1 species
GUUUUUCGCUCUAAGAUGAGUCCGCGUGAGAUUAGCUAGUUGGUGAGGUAAUGGCUCACCAAGGCAACGAUCUCUAACUGGUCUGAGAGGAUGAUCAGUCAUACUGGAACUGAGACACGGUCCAGACUCCUACGGGAGGCAGCAGUAGGGAAUAUUGCACGAUGGAGGAAACUCUGAUGCAGCGACGCCGCGUGAGUGAUGAAGGCCUUAGGGUCGUAAAGCUCUGUCGCAGGGGAAUAAAAAAAUG